ACAGUUUUCUGUUUUCAUAGUGACCAAAAACUCAAAACUGCAAAUAAAGGCUGCUUGGUACUGUAUUUUGAAAAUAGUUUUUCAAAAACUGAGUUAACAUAGUUAUAGUUUUUGGAGAACAAUAAAAAGGUGUUCUGGGAGUUUUGGGAAACAAGAAGACGCACACUUUGAAAACACGGAGAAAUCUUUUCACUUUAAAAGAACGGGAGUAAGAUAUCUCGUUUAUAACAUUACCCACAUCUCCUCAGUUGCACCAAGUGUUCUCUCUCUUCAAGGCUUGAAGCUCUCUCACUCUGACAAAGUCUCUCUUCAAGCUAUCUCUCUCUCAGUUUCUUGCACUUCUCUUAGGCAGAAAAGGUCGAUCUGCGUUUCUCUUCCUACAAUCAUCUCUGUGUGCGGAUACUGAAAAUAUUGAGGGAGAAAUGUGUGGAUGAAUGAUAAUUCCACAUUUUUUAGGAACAUGGAGCAAAGCAGCAGACCUUCCCUAGAGGAUUACUUGAAAGGAAGGAGUAGUUCAUAAAGCUUACAUUAGCUUCUCUUGUAUUCUAUUUAAACACCUUUUAUUUGUUUACAAGUAAUUUUUGCUACAAGCCAAGGCUAACAGAGUGUGUAGUUCAUCCUUGUACAGUCAGGGAAAGGAAAAAAAAAAUUUGCACCCCCUGAUGAGGUAGUUUAUGUUUGUAGGCACUGAAUUCAUGUAAAGUUAUUAAUGGAAGAAGCCCAAGAUAGAAAGGGUUCAAAGUUUGCAACACAAAAUAUGUGUCCUGAUUAAAGGUUUUUUUUUUUUUUAAGUAACGAAAUAGUCACAUAAGAUUUAAAUAUAUAAGCAUACAAAUUAGUGCAGGAUUCAUUGGUAUUAAAUGUACUAAAGGCUUGUUUUCCCAUUUUAAAGCUUAUGCCUUGUUAUAAGUUGGUUAGACAACUACUCGUAAUAACUGUUUGUUGCAUGAUUUACAAUUUCAUUCGUCAAAAUAUAUUAGAUGAUUUUUUUUUUAUGGAGUAUCGGGAAGAAGAUGUUAAUGUCGCUGAUGGGGGGAAUGGUAGCAGUAGCAAUGUUGGUGUACUGAAUGCACUUAAUUUAUUUGAUGAUGGUGCAGCACAAAUGGGAGUCCUUAGAACUCAUCUGAAGAAUGAAAUGUGGGCAUCAUUCAGAGGCAGUGCUAGAUGAAGUUACUUUUAUAAUUCUCCAAUGUUUUGCUUUGAUUAGUUAUUUGUGUAAUUCUCCAAUGUUUUGCUUUGGUUAUGUAUGACUAAAAUUAAUGUUUGUAUAACUAAAAGUGCAUAUGACACUUGAAUAAUUCCUGUAACUCUUUUAUUGUAUAUAAAUUUAGUGAAAUUUUAAUUAAA